rnacentral:rRNA from 1 species
GCUCUAUAACCCUUUGUGAACAUACCUAUAACUGUUGCUUCGGCGGGUAGGGUCCCCGCGACCCUCCCGGCCUCCCGCCUCCGGGCGGGUCGGCGCCCGCCGGAGGAUAACCAAACUCUGAUUUAACGACGUUUCUUCUGAGUGGUACAAGCAAAUAAUCAAAACUUUUAACAACGGAUCUCUUGGUUCUGGCAUCGAUGAAGAACGCAGCGAAAUGCGAUAAGUAAUGUGAAUUGCAGAAAUUCAGUGAAUCAUCGAAUCUUUGAACGCACAUUGCGCCCGCCAGCAUUCUGGCGGGCAUGCCUGUUCGAGCGUCAUUUCAACCCUCAAGCUCUGCUUGGUGUUGGGGCCCUACAGCUGAUGUAGGCCCUCAAAGGUAGUGGCGGACCCUCCCGGAGCCUCCUUUGCGUAGUAACUUUACGUCUCGCACUGGGAUCCGGAGGGACUCUUGCCGUAAAACCCCCCAAUUUUCCAAAGGUUGACCUCGGAUCAGGUAGGAAUACCCGCUGAACUUAAGCAUAUCAAUAAGCGGAGGAAAAGAAACCAACAGGGAUUGCCUCAGUAACGGCGAGUGAAGCGGCAACAGCUCAAAUUUGAAAUCUGGCCCUAGGCCCGAGUUGUAAUUUGCAGAGGAUGCUUUUGGUGCGGUGCCUUCCAAGUUCCCUAGAACGGGACGCCAGAGAGGGUGAGAGCCCCGUACAGUUGGACACCAAGCCUUUGUAAAGCUCCUUCGACGAGUCGAGUAGUUUGGGAAUGCUGCUCAAAAUGGGAGGUAUAUUUCUUCUAAAGCUAAAUACCGGCCAGAGACCGAUAGCGCACAAGUAGAGUGAUCGAAAGAUGAAAAGCACUUUGAAAAGAGGGUUAAACAGCACGUGAAAUUGUUAAAAGGGAAGCGCUUGUGACCAGACUUGCGUCCGGUGAAUCACCCAGCUCUCGCGGCUGGGGCACUUCGCCGGCUCAGGCCAGCAUCAGCUCGCUGUCGGGGACAAAAGCUUCAGGAACGUAGCUCUCUUCGGGGAGUGUUAUAGCCUGUUGCACAAUACCCUUCGGCGGGCUGAGGUACGC